rnacentral:rRNA from 1 species
AGGAUGAACGCUGGCGGCGUGCCUAAUACAUGCAAGUCGAACGAGGUGCUUUUUGUAGCAAUACGAGAGUAUCCUAGUGGCGAACGGGUGAGUAACGCGUUGGUGACCUACCCCAAAGUGUGGAAUAACAGUCCGAAAGGAUUGCUAAUACCGCAUGUGGUUAUCGGGCUUAGAAACUGAUAACUAAAGGAGCAAUUCGCUUUGGGAGGGACCUGCGUCCCAUCAGCUAGUUGGUGAGGUAACGGCUCACCAAGGCUACGACGGGGUAGGGACCUGGAGAGGGUCGACCCCCCACAAUGGAACUGAACACCGGUACCAUACACCGUACGGGUGCAGCAGUAGGAAUAUGCACAGUCGGGACGAAA